rnacentral:lncRNA from 1 species
CCCCCCGCCCGGGGACGGGGCGGGUCCCGGCCGCGGCCCAGUCAGGCGGCGCCGCAUCGCUGGGAGACCCCGCCGCCUGCCCGGGCCCGGGCCCGGCCGCCGCUCCCCUCAGCGAGCUCCCGUUUCGGGCCUUGUCCGGCCCCGGUUCCUCCCGAUUCCUGCGUCGGUACUUACUGCCAGGUACUGCCCACGGAGGCUGGCACAAGCGAGAUCUGGUCAUGCACCCGCCUUCCUGUAAAGGGCAGCCACGCCUGACAAUUUAGAAAUAAACGCUUUAGGAGAAACAAGGGCCUAGUGCUCCUUAAGGGAUGGACAACAAGGAGAACAUGACCAACAAGACCUUUCCAUUCCUGUAGUACCUGAGCAAGGUGAGUAGCGCUGAUUCAACCAGGAGUCCAGACCAUAGCGAAGAAACAAGUCCAAGGUUGGUAAGACAAUCCACAUGCCAGGGCUAAGAUCAGGU